rnacentral:rRNA from 1 species
AGAGUUUGAUCCUGGCUCAGGAUGAACGCUGGCGGCGUGCCUAAUACAUGCAAGUCGAGCGAACGGACGAGAAGCUUGCUUCUCUGAUGUUAGCGGCGGACGGGUGAGUAACACGUGGAUAACCUACCUAUAAGACUGGGAUAACUUCGGGAAACCGGAGCUAAUACCGGAUAAUAUUUUGAACCGCAUGGUUCAAAAGUGAAAGACGGUCUUGCUGUCACUUAUAGAUGGAUCCGCGCUGCAUUAGCUAGUUGGUAAGGUAACGGCUUACCAAGGCAACGAUGCAUAGCCGACCUGAGAGGGUGAUCGGCCACACUGGAACUGAGACACGGUCCAGACUCCUACGGGAGGCAGCAGUAGGGAAUCUUCCGCAAUGGGCGAAAGCCUGACGGAGCAACGCCGCGUGAGUGAUGAAGGUCUUCGGAUCGUAAAACUCUGUUAUUAGGGAAGAACAUAUGUGUAAGUAACUGUGCACAUCUUGACGGUACCUAAUCAGAAAGCCACGGCUAACUACGUGCCAGCAGCCGCGGUAAUACGUAGGUGGCAAGCGUUAUCCGGAAUUAUUGGGCGUAAAGCGCGCGUAGGCGGUUUUUUAAGUCUGAUGUGAAAGCCCACGGCUCAACCGUGGAGGGUCAUUGGAAACUGGAAAACUUGAGUGCAGAAGAGGAAAGUGGAAUUCCAUGUGUAGCGGUGAAAUGCGCAGAGAUAUGGAGGAACACCAGUGGCGAAGGCGACUUUCUGGUCUGUAACUGACGCUGAUGUGCGAAAGCGUGGGGAUCAAACAGGAUUAGAUACCCUGGUAGUCCACGCCGUAAACGAUGAGUGCUAAGUGUUAGGGGGUUUCCGCCCCUUAGUGCUGCAGCUAACGCAUUAAGCACUCCGCCUGGGGAGUACGACCGCAAGGUUGAAACUCAAAGGAAUUGACGGGGACCCGCACAAGCGGUGGAGCAUGUGGUUUAAUUCGAAGCAACGCGAAGAACCUUACCAAAUCUUGACAUCCUUUGACAACUCUAGAGAUAGAGCCUUCCCCUUCGGGGGACAAAGUGACAGGUGGUGCAUGGUUGUCGUCAGCUCGUGUCGUGAGAUGUUGGGUUAAGUCCCGCAACGAGCGCAACCCUUAAGCUUAGUUGCCAUCAUUAAGUUGGGCACUCUAAGUUGACUGCCGGUGACAAACCGGAGGAAGGUGGGGAUGACGUCAAAUCAUCAUGCCCCUUAUGAUUUGGGCUACACACGUGCUACAAUGGACAAUACAAAGGGCAGCGAAACCGCGAGGUCAAGCAAAUCCCAUAAAGUUGUUCUCAGUUCGGAUUGUAGUCUGCAACUCGACUACAUGAAGCUGGAAUCGCUAGUAAUCGUAGAUCAGCAUGCUACGGUGAUUACGUUCCCGGGUCUUGUACACACCGCCCGUCACACCACGAGAGUUUUUAACACCCGAAGCCGGUGGAGUAACCUUUUAGGAGCUAGCCGUCGAAGGUGGGACAAAUGAUUGGGGUGAAGUCGUAACAAGGUAGCCGUAUCGGAAGGUGCGGCUG